AACGAACGCUGGCGGCAUGCCUAACACAUGCAAGUCGAACGAUCCCUUCGGGGAUAGUGGCGCACGGGUGCGUAACGCGUGAGAACCUGCCCUUAGGUUCGGAAUAACUCAGAGAAAUUUGAGCUAAUACCGGAUAAUGUCUUCGGACCAAAGAUUUAUCGCCUUUGGAUGGGCCCGCGUUGGAUUAGCUAGUUGGUGGGGUAAAGGCCUACCAAGGCGACGAUCCAUAGCUGGUCUGAGAGGAUGAUCAGCCACACUGGGACUGAGACACGGCCCAGACUCCUACGGGAGGCAGCAGUGGGGAAUAUUGGACAAUGGGCGAAAGCCUGAUCCAGCAAUGCCGCGUGAGUGAUGAAGGCCUUAGGGUUGUAAAGCUCUUUUACCCGGGAUGAUAAUGACAGUACCGGGAGAAUAAGCCCCGGCUAACUCCGUG
rnacentral:rRNA from 1 species